UACAGAGGUCUCAAGCGUUGUUCGGAUUCAUUGGGCGUAAAGGGCGCGUAGGCGGCGGGGUAAGUCUGGUGUGAAAUCUCGGAGCUCAACUCCGAAAUUGCACUGGAUACUGCUCUGCUUGAGGGUUGGAGAGGAGAUCGGAAUUCACGGUGUAGCAGUGAAAUGCGUAGAUAUCGUGAGGAAGACCAGUGGCGAAGGCGGAUCUCUGGACAAAUCCUGACGCUGAGGAGCGAAAGCGUGGGGAGCGAACAGG
rnacentral:rRNA from 1 species